rnacentral:sRNA from 1 species
GCCGGGUGCAGUGGCCACACCUGUGAUCCCAGCAGCUCGGGAGGCUGAGACAGGAGGAUUGCAAGUUCAAAGCCAGCCUCAGCAAUGGUGAGGUGCUCAGCAACUCAGUGAGACCCUGUCUCUA